rnacentral:rRNA from 1 species
UACAGAGGUCUCAAGCGUUGUUCGGAUUCAUUGGGCGUAAAGGGCGCGUAGGCGGCGGGGUAAGUCGGGUGUGAAAUCUCAGAGCUCAACUCUGAAAUGGCACUUGAUACUGCUCUGCUAGAGGACUGGAGAGGAGACUGGAAUUCAUGGUGUAGCAGUGAAAUGCGUAGAGAUCAUGAGGAAGACCAGUGGCGAAGGCGGGUCUCUGGACAGUUCCUGACACUGAGGCACGAAGGCCAGGGGAGCAAACGGG